rnacentral:rRNA from 1 species
GAUGAACGCUAGCGAUAGGCUUAACACAUGCAAGUCGAGGGGUAACGUGUUGGAAGCUUGCUUCCGAUGACGACGACCGGCGGAUGGGUGCGUAACGCGUAUGCAACUUGCCUCACAGUGGAGAAUAACCCGGAGAAAUCCGGACUAAUACUCCAUACACUCUUAGGUACACCUGUGUUUGAGAGGAAAGAUUUAUCGCUGUGAGAUAGGCAUGCGUCCUAUUAGGUAGUUGGUGAGGUAACGGCUCACCAAGCCGACGAUAGGUAGGGGUGCUGAGAGGCAGAUCCCCCACAUUGGGACUGAGACACGGCCCAAACUCCUACGGGAGGCAGCAGUGAGGAAUAUUGGUCAAUGGAGGAAACUCUGAACCAGCCAAGUCGCGUGAAGGAAGAAUGUCCUAAGGAUUGUAAACUUCUUUAGCGAGCGAGUAAGGACUUCCACGUGAUGGGAGUUUGAAAGUAGCUCGAGAAUAAGUAUCGGCUAACUCCGUGCCAGCAGCCGCGGUAAUACGGAGGAUACGAGCGUUAUCCGGAUUUAUUGGGUUUAAAGGGUGCGCAGGUGGUCUUGCAGUCAGUGGUGAAAAGCUGAGGCUCAACCUCAGCCUUGCCGUUGAAACUGCAAGACUUGAGAGUACAUGAUGUGGGCGGAAUGCGUAGUGUAGCGGUGAAAUGCAUAGAUAUUACGCAGAACUCCGAUUGCGAAGGCAGCUCACAAAGGUAUAUCUGACACUGAGGCACGAAAGCGUGGGGAGCGAACAGGAUUAGAUACCCUGGUAGUCCACGCCGUAAACGAUGAUUACUCGAAGUAUGCGAUAUGACAGUAUGCUUCCAAGCGAAAGUGAUAAGUAAUCCACCUGGGGAGUACGCCGGCAACGGUGAAACUCAAAGGAAUUGACGGGGGCCCGCACAAGCGGAGGAACAUGUGGUUUAAUUCGAUGAUACGCGAGGAACCUUACCCGGGAUUGAAAUGUAUGUGAGCCUUUUGGGAAACCGAGAGGGUUCUCUUCGGAGACACAUAUGUAGGUGCUGCAUGGUUGUCGUCAGCUUGUGCCGUGAGGUGUCGGCUUAAGUGCCAUAACGAGCGCAACCCUUAUCGUCAGUUACUAACAGGUAGCGCUGAGGACUCUGGCGAGACUGCCGUCGUAAGGCGAGAGGAAGGUGGGGAUGACGUCAAAUCAGCACGGCCCUUACAUCCGGGGCGACACACGUGUUACAAUGGUAGGGACAGAGAGUAGCCACUCGGUGACGAGGAGCGGAUCUUGAAACCCUAUCUCAGUUCGGAUCGGAGUCUGCAACUCGACUCCGUGAAGCCGGAUUCGCUAGUAAUCGCGCAUCAGCCAUGGCGCGGUGAAUACGUUCCCGGGCCU